rnacentral:rRNA from 1 species
GAAAUUCCAAUCGAACUCGGAGAUAGCUGGUUCUCCCCGAAAUAGCUUUAGGGCUAGCGUUGUGUUAGUUUACCGGAGGUAGAGCACUGAAUUGGCUAAGGGGCGAUGAGCUUACUGAACCUUAUCAAACUUCGAAUGCCGGAUAAAUGGUGCACAGCAGUCAGACAGUGUGAGAUAAGUUUCAUUGUCAAGAGGGAAACAGCCCAGACCCACAGCUAAGGUCCCAAAUGAACGCUAAGUGGAAAACGAUGUGGGGUUGCAGAAACAACCAGGAUGUUGGCUUAGAAGCAGCCACUCAUUAAAAGAGUGCGUAAUAGCUCACUGGUCGAGUGACUCUGCGCGGAAAAUAUAACGGGGCUAAGCGUAACACCGAAGCUUGGGCUGCACAGCAAUGUGCGGGGUAGGGGAGCGUCGAAUAUGGGGUGAAGUCGCAGCGGAAGCAGCGGUGGACUGUAUUCGAGUGAGAAUGCCGGAAUGAGUAGCGAGAAUUAUGUGGGAAUCAUAAUGGCCGAAAAUCUAAGGUUUCCUGGGGAAGGUUCGUCCGCCCAGGGUAAGCCGGGAGCUAAGGCGAGGCCGAAAGGCGUAGUCGAUGCACAUACGGUUGAAAUUCCGUAGCCACCGAACCUUAAGUACACUGACACAUGGAGAUAGCGGGACCCGGGCGUUGGUUGACCCGGGCGUAAGGGACCGAACUUUAGUAGGGAAGUCCGCGAUGCUCUGUGGCGAGAAAAGGUGUAUGGUAUGCUAAGGUGCCCGUACCGCAAACCGACACAGGUAGAUGAGGAGAGAAUCCUAAGGCCAACGGGAGAAGGGUUGUUAAGGAACUCGGCAAAAUGACCCCGUAACUUCGGGAUAAGGGGAGCCUCCUACGGGAGGCCGCAGCGAAUAGGCCCAAGCGACUGUUUACCAAAAACACAGGUCUCUGCUAAAUCGAAAGAUGACGUAUAGGGGCUGACGCCUGCCCGGUGCUGGAAGGUUAAGAGGAGAUGUUAGCCGCAAGGCGAAGCAUUGAAUCGAAGCCCCAGUAAACGGCGGCCGUAACUAUAACGGUCCUAAGGUAGCGAAAUUCCUUGUCAGGUAAGUUCUGACCCGCACGAAUGGCGUAACGACUUGGGCGCUGUCUCAACAGCCCACCCGGCGAAAUUGUUGUACUGGUGAAGAAGCCAGUUACCCGCAACUAGACGGAAAGACCCCAUGGAGCUUUACUGCAGCUUAAUACUGGAAAUCGGUAAAUCAUGUACAGGAUAGGUGGGAGACUUGGAAGCCAGGGCGUCAGCUUUGGUGGAGUCACCCUUGGGAUACCACCCUUGAUUUGCUGGUUUUCUAACCUGCGGCCGUGAAUCCGGUCGGGGGACACUGUUAGGUGGGCAGUUUGACUGGGGCGGUCGCCUCCUAAAAGGUAACGGAGGCGCUCAAAGGUUCGUUCAGCACGGACGGAAACCGUGCAGUGAGUGUAAACGCAUAAACGAGCCUAACUGCGAGACCGACGGGUCGAGCAGUAACGAAAGUUGGAGUUAGUGAUCCGGCGGUAUGCAAGUGGAAGUGCCGUCGCUCAACGGAUAAAAGCUACCCUGGGGAUAACAGGCUGAUCUCCCCCAAG